AUUGAACGCUGGCGGAAUGCUUUACACACGCAAGUCGAACGGCAGCACGGGGGCAACCCUGGUGGCGAGUGGCGAACGGGUGAGUAAUACAUCGGAACGUGCCCAGUCGUGGGGGAUAACUACGCGAAAGCGUAGCUAAUACCGCAUACGAACUCUGGUUGAAAGCGGGGGAUCGCAAGACCUCGCGCGAUUGGAGCGGCCGAUGGCAGAGUAGGUAGUUGGUGGGGUAAAGGCUCACCAAGCCGACGAUCUGUAGCUGGUCUGAGAGGACGACCAGCCACACUGGGACUGAGACACGGCCCAGACUCCUACGGGAGGCAGCAGUGGGGAAUUUUGGACAAUGGGCGCAAGCCUGAUCCAGCCAUUCCGCGUGCAGGAUGAAGGCCCUCGGGUUGUAAACUGCCUUUGUACGGAACGAAACGCGCCGGGUUAAUACCCUGGCGUAAUGACGGUACCGUAAGAAUAAGCACCGGCUAACUACGUGCCAGCCGCCGCCGUAAAAC
rnacentral:rRNA from 1 species